AUUGAACGCUGGCGGCAUGCUUUACACAUGCAAGUCGAACGGUAACAGGCCUUCGGGUGCUGACGAGUGGCGAACGGGUGAGUAAUGCAUCGGAACGUACCCAGAGGUGGGGGAUAACGCAGCGAAAGCUGUGCUAAUACCGCAUGUGAUCUGAGGAUGAAAGCGGGGGACCGAGCAGCAAUGUUUGGCCUCGCGCCUUUGGAGCGGCCGAUGUCGGAUUAGCUAGUUGGUGGGGUAAAGGCCUACCAAGGCGACGAUCCGUAGCUGGUCUGAGAGGACGACCAGCCACACUGGGACUGAGACACGGCCCAGACUCCUACGGGAGGCAGCAGUGGGGAAUUUUGGACAAUGGGCGCAAGCCUGAUCCAGCAAUGCCGCGUGCGGGAAGAAGGCCUUCGGGUUGGAAACCGAUUUUGGCAGGAACGAAACGGUGUCCGCUAAUACCGGGCGCUAAUGACGGUACCUGCAGAAUAAGCACCGGCUAACUACGUG
rnacentral:rRNA from 1 species